rnacentral:rRNA from 1 species
AUUGAACGCUGGCGGCAUGCCUUACACAUGCAAGUCGAACGGCAGCGCGGACUUCGGUCUGGCGGCGAGUGGCGAACGGGUGAGUAAUACAUCGGAACGUACCCUGUUGUGGGGGAUAACUAGUCGAAAGAUUAGCUAAUACCGCAUACGACCUGAGGGUGAAAGUUGGGGACCGGAAACGGCCUCAUGCAGCAGGAGCGGCCGAUGUCUGAUUAGCUAGUUGGUGGGGUAAAGGCCCACCAAGGCGACGAUCAGUAGCUGGUCUGAGAGGACGAUCAGCCACACUGGGACUGAGACACGGACCAGACUCCUACGGGAGGCAGCAGUGGGGAAUUUUGGACAAUGGGGGCAACCCUGAUCCAGCAAUGCCGCGUGUGUGAAGAAGGCCUUCGGGUUGUAAAGCACUUUUGUCCGGAAAGAAAUCGCGCUGGUUAAUACCUGGCGUGGAUGACGGUACCGGAAGAAUAAGCACCGGCUAACUACGUG